rnacentral:lncRNA from 1 species
GACUCCAAUGACACUCAUUGAUUGAUAGUUCAACAAAAACCAGAGGAACACCAACAUUGAAAACCAAAAAUAGCAACUACAAGGAGAAAUAAGAACCAAUUUGAAACAGGACGUUAUCACACCCAGAGCCAAGUAAAGGUUGCUACAAUUGGCCACAUGUCAAGGAAAGGUUGCUAAUUCUCGACACACAACAGGUUUCUCCAAACUAUCGGCUACACGCUGGGAAUGAUGCAGCCAAGUUGACUUAUAAGGAUCUGAGAAUUCACAUUCAUCUUCUAACUUGAAUAGAGUCAAAUUUAAGAUCAAGUAAACCUCUUUUAAC